rnacentral:rRNA from 1 species
AACGAACGCUGGCGGCGUGCCUAACACAUGCAAGUCGCGCGAGAAAGUGGGGGCAACUCCACGAGUAAAGCGGCGCACGGGUGAGUAAUACGUAGGUAACCUACCUUCGAGACUGGGAUAACCUUCCGAAAGGAGGGCUAAUACCGGAUGAGACCACGGGGCUUCGGCUCUGAGGUCAAAGGUGGCCUCUGCUCGCAAGCUACCACUCGGAGAUGGGCCUGCGCACCAUUAGCUAGUUGGCGAGGUAACGGCUCACCAAGGCGAAGAUGGUUAGCUGAUCUGAGAGGAUGAUCAGCCACACUGGGACUGAGACACGGCCCAGACUCCUACAGGAGGCAGCAGUGGGGAAUCUUGGACAAUGGGGGAAACCCUGAUCCAGCGACGCCGCGUGGGUGAUGAAGGCCUUCGGGUCGUAAAGCCCUGUCGGGGGGGAAGAAACUCCUGCCGGUGAACAACCGGCGAGACUGACGGUACCCCUUAAGAAAGCACCGGCUAACUCCGUGCCAGCAGCCGCGGUAAGACGGAGGGUGCAAAGCGUUGUUCGGAAUUAUUGGGCGUAAAGGGCGCGUAGGCGGUCUGUUAAGUUCGGUGUGAAAGCCCCCGGCUCACCUGGGGAACUGCGCCGGAAACCGACAGACUCGAGUACCGGAGAGGAGGGUGGAAUUCCUGGUGUAGCGGUGAAAUGCGUAGAUAUCAGGAGGAACACCGGUGGCGAAGGCGGCCCUCUGGACGGAUACUGACGCUGAGGCGCGAAAGCGUGGGGAUCAAACAGGAUUAGAUACCCUGGUAGUCCACGCUGUAAACGAUGGGAGCUAGGUGUGGGAGGUAUUGACCCUUCCGUGCCGCCGCUAACGCAUUAAGCUCCCCGCCUGGGGAUUACGGCCGCAAGGUUAAAACUCAAAGGAAUUGACGGGGGCCCGCACAAGCGGUGGAGCAUGUGGUUCAAUUCGACGCAACGCGAAGAACCUUACCUGGGCUAGACAACGGCGGACCGCCCCAGAGAUGGGGCUUUCCCUUCGGGGACUGCCGGUUCAGGUGCUGCAUGGC